GGGGGACUCAUGAAGCUGGGGGCGGCAGCCCUAAGGUGGGUAGGGUUGCGCCGACACCUCCACUCCGUUUCGGCGGAAUGUGGCUGGCUAGGGUGGCCUGAACCACUGUCUGGGUUGUUUGUCGUUCAGUCGGAUUGAGGAUCUGCCUCCCUUGAGGUGCACAUGUCAUAGUGAUGGCAGAAGCGAGAGUGAGUGAAGCUGAUGUCAUCCCGACGUCGUAACACCGUUGGGCGGGGCGGGGCUCUCAUGUCAAGUCUCCCCGCGGUGCACAUGUCACAGAGAUGCAAACAGCAUGGCCUUCUUUCCUAUCUUUUCCCCCUCCUCCUCCUCCUCCACCCCCUCCCCCACACACACCUCCUGCUGUUAUAUCGUCACCCUCAUAAAGUAAUUGCCUAAGUCAUUUUUCAGUGAUUUCCAUUUUUGUUAAGUUGUCUUAGAUAUUCAGGGUUUGAGUGUUCUAGAAUUGCCUUUUUAUUUCUGCCUAAAUCUUAAGCCAAAUGAGAUGAUGACGUUCUCUUCUUGAAAAAUAGAAAAUAACGACUUGGGCGGUUUCUUUACGAAGGUGGCGAGAUUGUAAUAGGUUUUGCACCCUCUAUUUAGGGAUGUGCACUAAUUUUUGUCUCUUCUCUUCCCCUCCUCCUCCCCUGGCUGACCGGGGAACGGAGGAGGAGCACUAGGACGAGGAGGUGAAGGGAGGCGCAGGGAGAGACGACUCGAGCACAGGGAGGCAAGAGACAAGAAGCAGAGACGCAGGAACGGAAAGCUGCUGUGGGAGUGCUGCCCUCCACAGCAAGCAAGGGGCUGCCCUGCCCAGACCACAGCAAGAGGAGGAAGAGCU